rnacentral:rRNA from 1 species
CUACGGGCUGCUGCAGCUACGAAAACUUUACACUACGCGAAAGCGUGAUAAGGGGAUCCUACGUGCCCAUGCAUUGCAUGGGCUUUUGUCAAGAGUAAAAUUCUUGGCGAAUAAGUGGUGGGCAAGACUGGUGCCAGCAGCCGCGGUAACACCAGCGCCACGAGUGGGGGCCGUGAUUAUUGGGUCUAAAGCGUCCGUAGCCUGUUCGGUAAAUCUUCUGUGAAAUCGUGGGUCUCAAGCUCACGGCGCGCAGGAGACACUGCCGAACUAGAGACCGGGAGGGGUAGGAGGUAUUCCGUGGGGAGCGGUAAAAUGCUAUAAUCCUCGGAGGACCAACUGUGGCGUAGGCGUCCUACUGGAACGGGUCUGACGGUGAGGGACGAAAGCCAGGGGAGCAAACCGGAUUAGAUACCCUGGUAGUC